UCCCUUUCAGGAUAACAUCUGGAGAGUUUCUAGUAUUCUACCAGUUUUUGCUACAGGAAGGAGAGUCAAGCAGAGACCUACCCAUUCCAUUCGUAGCUUGGGCAAUGAUUAGAGAGUGGAAGGAAAUCUGCUACAAGU